GAGUUAGGGUUUGGUUAGUGUGUAGCUACGGGAAGAGGGGAAGAAGAAGAUUUAUUAUAUAGAGCUGCUACCCACCUAGGUUACCAGGCCGGCCUCUUCUCUGGGCUGGUAAAUAAGCACCUCGCUGGCCUAGUUCAGUAGUUUGAGCGCCAGUCCAGUUUUUUUUUAAAUUAUGAGCGCCAGUCCAGUUACAUGCGUUUCGAUGGCAUCUAGCUUGUUUUUUCUUAUUGGGUUUGUAUAUUUUUUGCGGUGCCAUCUUGACGUGCAGAUGAUGUCAUUAGAAGAUUGAUGUCCUGAGGCAUCGCAGUCUAUUUCUUGAAGUUAGUUGUUAUUGUGGUUCAUCCUUUUGUGUUUUGGUCUUUUUUAUCGAUUCA
rnacentral:lncRNA from 1 species